GCCAGUUUAGCUCAGUGGAUAGAGCCUCGGCCUGCGGACCGCAGGGUCCCGGUUCGAUUCCGGGCAAGGGCA
rnacentral:tRNA from 1 species